GCUAACUCAAGCCACAUUGGGGGAGAAGAGAGUGAGAGGGAGGAGUUACCAAAACUUAUAUUCAAAUGUGACCAGCAAGGAGGUGGAAAAGGGAAAGGGAUGCUGGGAGAUGAAAAAGAAUUCUGGGAGAUGGAGUCCAAAGGUAAAAGGAUUUUUUUUUCUAAUUAGACCGUUGGAGAAGGAAAUGGCAAACCACUCCAUGAUCUCUACCAAGAAAACCCCAAAUCAGAUGGUGAAGAGUCAGACACCACUGGAUGAUAACAGCUUGAUUCUAAAGCGAGAAAUCUUUCCAGGUUUUGCCUUCUACUGCAAACAUGAUCCUUUGACACUUCAUCCUGUUUGACUCUGGUCCAUUUCUCCUGUGCCUAGUUAAUAGUCCUUGGAAGUGUUUCUUAGUUGACUGAAAUGGAGAACUUGGUGAUCUUGGCCCCUUCUAAACCUUCCAAAUGAAUUAUCCAUCUGCAAGCUGGUUGGAGAGGAUGUCAUGAAAGAUUCACCUUUCACCAACUUUCACCUGUGACUCCAAGAAAUAGUAGCAGGCACAGUGAAUCCCCAGUUCCAGUAACACCAUCUUGGAAAAUGAGCUAAACCAGGCUGAGGGUCAUUAAGUUAGGAGGAUGUCCACCCCAAGCACCUGAAGAUUUCCUCCAACAGAAUGAGCAGAUGAGAACGAUUUGGUCCAACAACCAUGAAGACAGCCAAAACAGAUACUGUGAAGCACCUAGAGCUUGACCAGAUAUUGAAGAUGCCAAAGUCAUCCACUGCAUUCCAGGCCAUUGCCAGUCAUCCUGCUUUUUGUCCUGUCUCUGGACUUCCCUGACUCCAGAAAAGACAAUGAGGCGAUGACUUUAUGCAACUCACUUACCUCCAAUUCAUGAUCAAGUUAAGAUGUCAUCCUGUGAUAUCAUUGGUUCUCUAGGAAAACAAAGGACAAACAACAGUAACAGCUCUGGAGGUGGAUAGCAUUUUUCAUCAUGAGUCUUUCAGUACUGUCUUGGAUCAUUGUAUUGUUGAGAAUAGCUAUAUCAUUCCCAAUUGAUUGUCUUGCAAUAUUGAUGUUACUGUCUACAGUGUUCAGAUUGUGCUCACUUUGCUUUACAUCAAUUCAUAGUCUUUUCAGGUUUUCUGAGAUCUCCUUCUUGCCACAACUUGUUCAAGCAUCUCCCAAUUGAUGGGCAUCCCCCCAGUUUCCAAUUCCUUGCUCCCACAAAAAGAACUACGACAAAUAUUUAUGUACAAAAAGGUCCUUUUCCUUUUUAAAAAAAAAUUUCUUUGGGCUACUGCCCUAGUAGUGCUUUUGCUGGGUCAUAGGGUAUGCAUAGUUUUAUAACCUUUUGGCUAUAGGAACAAAACUUUUAAAAUAAAGUCAACAUGAAAAUGGAGAGGGUUAGGAAG
rnacentral:lncRNA from 1 species